rnacentral:rRNA from 1 species
CACGUAGGGGGCGAGCGUUGUCCGGAUUUAUUGGGCGUAAAGAGCUCGUAGGCGGUUCGGUAAGUCAGAUGUGAAAGUCCAGGGCUCAACCCUGGGAAGCCAUCUGAUACUGCCGUGACUUGAGUCCGGUAGGGGAGCGUGGAAUUCCUGGUGUAGCGGUGAAAUGCGCAGAUAUCAGGAGGAACACCAGCGGCGAAGGCGGCGCUCUGGGCCGGUACUGACGCUGAGGAGCGAAAGCGUGGGGAGCGCACAGG